UCGAGUAACGAUGAUGUUGCUGUUCGCCAUGCUGUACGUUACAUCGACAAAUGCAUCGUGAAGGGGAUCGCUUUGAUCUUUACCUUGAUAUCAAUUUAUGCAUUUGGAUCAUUAAAUAAUUUUCGUAUUAUUCCAUGUCUAUUGAACAAUGCAGCUAAGAAAAAAGAAU